rnacentral:lncRNA from 1 species
CUGCCCGCUAGACAUGUACACCUUACAAUCAUUCCAUACAACAAAUAUAGUAGACCUAUUGCAUAUGGUAUGAGAAAAACAGACCAAAACACAAACAUUUAACUAUAACCACUGAACCAUGAAAAUGAGGUCAAGGUCAGAUGACACCUGCCAGUUGGACAUGUACACCUUACAGUCCUUCCAUACACCGAAUAUACUAGCCCUAUUGCUUAUAGUAUCUGAGAUAUGGACUUGACCACCAAAACUUAACCUUGUUCACUGAUUCAUGAAAUGAGGUCGAGGUCAAGUGAAAACUGUCUGACAGACAUGAGGACCUUGCAAGGUACGCACAUAUCAAAUAUAGUUCUCCUAUUUCUUAUAAUAAGAGAGAAUUCAACAUUACAAAAAAUU